rnacentral:rRNA from 1 species
AACGAACGCUGGCGGCGUGCUUAACACAUGCAAGUCGAGCGAAGCGCUUAAGUUUGAUUCUUCGGAUGAAGACUUUUGUGACUGAGCGGCGGACGGGUGAGUAACGCGUGGGUAGCCUGCCUCAUACAGGGGGAUAACAGUUAGAAAUGACUGCUAAUACCGCAUAAGACCACGGUACCGCAUGGUACAGUGGUAAAAACUCCGGUGGUAUGAGAUGGACCCGCGUCUGAUUAGGUAGUUGGUGGGGUAACGGCCUACCAAGCCGACGAUCAGUAGCCGACCUGAGAGGGUGACCGGCCACAUUGGGACUGAGACACGGCCCAGACUCCUACGGGAGGCAGCAGUGGGGAAUAUUGCACAAUGGAGGAAACUCUGAUGCAGCGACGCCGCGUGAAGGAUGAAGUAUUUCGGUAUGUAAACUUCUAUCAGCAGGGAAGAAAAUGACGGUACCUGACUAAGAAGCCCCGGCUAACUACGUGCCAGCCGCCGCAGUAAUAC